rnacentral:rRNA from 1 species
GUUGUGAGGUUAAGCGACUAAGCGUACACGGUGGAUGCCCUGGCAGUCAGAGGCGAUGAAGGACGUGCUAAUCUGCGAUAAGCGUCGGUAAGGUGAUAUGAACCGUUAUAACCGGCGAUUUCCGAAUGGGGAAACCCAGUGUGAUUCGUCACACUAUCAUUAACUGAAUCCAUAGGUUAAUGAGGCGAACCGGGGGAACUGAAACAUCUAAGUACCCCGAGGAAAAGAAAUCAACCGAGAUUCCCCCAGUAGCGGCGAGCGAACGGGGAGCAGCCCAGAGCCUGAAUCAGUGUGUGUGUUAGUGGAAGCGUCUGGAAAGGCGUGCGAUACAGGGUGACAGCCCCGUACACAAAAAUGCACAUACUGUGAGCUCGAUGAGUAGGGCGGGACACGUGGUAUCCUGUCUGAAUAUGGGGGGACCAUCCUCCAAGGCUAAAUACUCCUGACUGACCGAUAGUGAACCAGUACCGUGAGGGAAAGGCGAAAAGAACCCCGGCGAGGGGAGUGAAAAAGAACCUGAAACCGUGUACGUACAAGCAGUGGGAGCACGCUUAGGCGUGUGACUGCGUACCUUUUGUAUAAUGGGUCAGCGACUUAUAUUCUGUAGCAAGGUUAACCGAAUAGGGGAGCCGAAGGGAAACCGAGUCUUAACUGGGCGUUAAGUUGCAGGGUAUAGACCCGAAACCCGGUGAUCUAGCCAUGGGCAGGUUGAAGGUUGGGUAACACUAACUGGAGGACCGAACCGACUAAUGUUGAAAAAUUAGCGGAUGACUUGUGGCUGGGGGUGAAAGGCCAAUCAAACCGGGAGAUAGCUGGUUCUCCCCGAAAGCUAUUUAGGUAGCGCCUCGUGAAUUCAUCUCCGGGGGUAGAGCACUGUUUCGGCAAGGGGGUCAUCCCGACUUACCAACCCGAUGCAAACUGCGAAUACCGGAGAAUGUUAUUACGGGAGACACACGGCGGGUGCUAACGUCCGUCGUGAAGAGGGAAACAACCCAGACCGCCAGCUAAGGUCCCAAAGUCAUGGUUAAGUGGGAAACGAUGUGGGAAGGCCCAGACAGCCAGGAUGUUGGCUUAGAAGCAGCCAUCAUUUAAAGAAAGCGUAAUAGCUCACUGGUCGAGUCGGCCUGCGCGGAAGAUGUAACGGGGCUAAACCAUGCACCGAAGCUGCGGCAGCGACGCUUAUGCGUUGUUGGGUAGGGGAGCGUUCUGUAAGCCUGUGAAGGUGUGCUGUGAGGUAUGCUGGAGGUAUCAGAAGUGCGAAUGCUGACAUAAGUAACGAUAAAGCGGGUGAAAAGCCCGCUCGCCGGAAGACCAAGGGUUCCUGUCCAACGUUAAUCGGGGCAGGGUGAGUCGACCCCUAAGGCGAGGCCGAAAGGCGUAGUCGAUGGGAAACAGGUUAAUAUUCCUGUACUUGGUGUUACUGCGAAGGGGGGACGGAGAAGGCUAUGUUGGCCGGGCGACGGUUGUCCCGGUUUAAGCGUGUAGGCUGGUUUUCCAGGCAAAUCCGGAAAAUCAAGGCCGAGGCGUGAUGACGAGGCACUACGGUGCUGAAGCAACAAAUGCCCUGCUUCCAGGAAAAGCCUCUAAGCAUCAGGUAACAUCAAAUCGUACCCCAAACCGACACAGGUGGUCAGGUAGAGAAUACCAAGGCGCUUGAGAGAACUCGGGUGAAGGAACUAGGCAAAAUGGUGCCGUAACUUCGGGAGAAGGCACGCUGAUACGUAGGUGAAGCGACUUGCUCGUGGAGCUGAAAUCAGUCGAAGAUACCAGCUGGCUGCAACUGUUUAUUAAAAACACAGCACUGUGCAAACACGAAAGUGGACGUAUACGGUGUGACGCCUGCCCGGUGCCGGAAGGUUAAUUGAUGGGGUUAGCGCAAGCGAAGCUCUUGAUCGAAGCCCCGGUAAACGGCGGCCGUAACUAUAACGGUCCUAAGGUAGCGAAAUUCCUUGUCGGGUAAGUUCCGACCUGCACGAAUGGCGUAAUGAUGGCCAGGCUGUCUCCACCCGAGACUCAGUGAAAUUGAACUCGCUGUGAAGAUGCAGUGUACCCGCGGCAAGACGGAAAGACCCCGUGAACCUUUACUAUAGCUUGACACUGAACAUUGAGCCUUGAUGUGUAGGAUAGGUGGGAGGCUUUGAAGUGUGGACGCCAGUCUGCAUGGAGCCGACCUUGAAAUACCACCCUUUAAUGUUUGAUGUUCUAACGUGGACCCGUGAUCCGGGUUGCGGACAGUGUCUGGUGGGUAGUUUGACUGGGGCGGUCUCCUCCUAAAGAGUAACGGAGGAGCACGAAGGUUGGCUAAUCCUGGUCGGACAUCAGGAGGUUAGUGCAAUGGCAUAAGCCAGCUUGACUGCGAGCGUGACGGCGCGAGCAGGUGCGAAAGCAGGUCAUAGUGAUCCGGUGGUUCUGAAUGGAAGGGCCAUCGCUCAACGGAUAAAAGGUACUCCGGGGAUAACAGGCUGAUACCGCCCAAGAGUUCAUAUCGACGGCGGUGUUUGGCACCUCGAUGUCGGCUCAUCACAUCCUGGGGCUGAAGUAGGUCCCAAGGGUAUGGCUGUUCGCCAUUUAAAGUGGUACGCGAGCUGGGUUUAGAACGUCGUGAGACAGUUCGGUCCCUAUCUGCCGUGGGCGCUGGAGAACUGAGGGGGGCUGCUCCUAGUACGAGAGGACCGGAGUGGACGCAUCACUGGUGUUCGGGUUGUCAUGCCAAUGGCACUGCCCGGUAGCUAAAUGCGGAAGAGAUAAGUGCUGAAAGCAUCUAAGCACGAAACUUGCCCCGAGAUGAGUUCUCCCUGACCCUUUAAGGGUCCUGAAGGAACGUUGAAGACGACGAC